UUCAUCCAAGUUUUCAUUAGCUUCCUAUGACAAACUCAACAGGUGUAAUAAUCAGAAGCAGAGCAUCAAUUAAGGAUUAAGGAUGAAAUGCAUUAAUUAAUUAAUUUGAGAAAUAUUUGAGACAUAAAAAUAAUCUAGGUCAUGAACAAUUCCCAUUUUGAAGUGGAUCCAACUAUGAAACUAACUCAGAAUCAAACUAAAAUUAAUCAAGCUGAACUCAUCUGAACAUUAAAGAACGAAGAUGCUUACCUCAGGUCAUUGUUCUCACUUCUCAUUACUUGAUAGAGUUAUUGUGGUGGUCAAUGGGAUCGAAGAGGAACACGGUGGUUUUCGAGGACUACUUCCCGGCAAUGGUGUAGAAACUGGGGACUGAAGGGUUCAUGAAGGAGCUGACAAAUGGGUUCCAGUUGUUGAUGGACAGAGAGAAGAAAGUGAUCACAUUUGAGAGCCUCAAGAGGAACUCUGCAUUGCUUGGGUUGGAAGGGAUGAGUGAUGAUGAGAUAAUGAGCAUGCUGAGAGAAGGUGAUCUUGAUGGAGAUGGUGCUCUUGAUGAGAUGGAGUUCUGCACGCUCAUGUUCAGGUUGAGCCCUGCUUUGAUGAAUAACUCUAAGCAACUUUUGGAGGAAGCCAUUUUUAGUGCCCAUUAGAAAAAAACUCUUUUGAUUUUGCUCUUUCAGUUUCAGCUCCCUCUGUUGUGUUAUAAGCUUCUUAUUUCCCUAUAUUUUUCUGGGGCUGUUUCUGUACUUUGUAAUUGCAGAGUUGUAACUGAGUUUCUUCACCAAUCAGACUUCAAUUUCCUGUGUCUUGCUGACAAAGCAAUCAAACAAGGUAGGUAAACACAUUAUUAACAUUUAAGAAUUUGAAACAUGGAAGCAACAACUUGGUCAAUGAGGCUUAUG
rnacentral:lncRNA from 1 species